UACGUAGGGUGCAAGCGUUGUCCGGAAUUAUUGGGCGUAAAGAGCUCGUAGGCGGUUCGUCGCGUCGGCUGUGAAAUCCCGAGGCUCAACCUCGGGUCUGCAGUCGAUACGGGCGGACUGGAGUACUGCAGGGGAGACUGGAAUUCCUGGUGUAGCGGUGAAAUGCGCAGAUAUCUGGAGGAACACCAGUGGCGAAGGCGGCUUCCUGGCCUGUAACUGACGCUGAGACGCGAAAGCGUGGGGAGCGAACCGG
rnacentral:rRNA from 1 species